GAUCAACCCCAUCAUGGUUCUAUCUUGUACAUCAAAAUCUUCAAAUUUGCUUAUAAUAUUAUAUUAUUUCCUGUAUUUAGGUUUUUUUAAAUUUAAAAUUUGGGAUUGAUUUUAAUUGGGGCUUAGCCCCAUUCUUUUUUUUCCAUAUAGCUUUCCGGGCUAUACUGCUAUCGGGCAGAAAAGCGUUCCGCUUAAUUUUACAAUUUGUAUUUGGGAUGUUUCCGUCCGUGGCUGCAAUAGCUGGCCUUCGCCAGUUGGCUCACUGAUGCUUCUUCGCUGACUUCAGGGCAUUCACAGUCUUUACGUAAUGCGCAGCGCUCGGCGAGCAGGCUGCUCCAAACGUCAUUACGUUCAUCUCGUACACAUCCGGGUCUCGAUCGUCGUUGCCAUCUCUCCAAAGGAAUCGUUGGGAACACCGAUCCUAGGGUCGGAUCAGCACUUGGUGGAACAUCUCCUUGAUGUCACCGUUCAGGGUUUUAACCUGCUUCAGCUCCUCCUCCAAAGCCACAAUCCUUUUCAAAAGGUCCGACGUGAGGGGCUGGCACAUCUCCGGCUCUGAACUCGCAGCUGUGACAGCAGUACUCCUGAGUUGGGACGCUACUGUAGUCACCGUAGUGGCUGGGCUAGAAAUGUCCGCCGCCGCGGCCGGUUUUCUGCUCCACUACUCGCUGGCUGCGGAUCCGCUCGCGCUGCUGUAGGGGUGGCGUCCCCUCCUCUCAGCCGCGAACUCCUCUUGGGGGAAUGCUGCGUACCCAGUGUUCGGCGCUGUCUGCGCUCCUCUAUGUCGCUGUCUGCGACUCCUCUACUGGUACGGGAAUGCUCCUGGCAACUCUCUAGCUGGUCGCCAAGUCGUCCUCCAGCGCAAGUUGCCCUUGCAGGUCCCUAGGGCUGCGAAUAAAAGGAGUUGUCUUGCUUCAUAUGGAGUUGCCUUAAACGACUACCCCACACGCGUAGGUCCGAAGAGAGGGAUACUUCAAGGGCGGCGUGCGCCUGGCGUACGCGCGGUCGUGGUUGACGUUUUAUUCUGAGAACAAUUCAAAUCAGUCUCAUACAUUUCAAGCUUAACUUAGUCUUACCGCAGUGUGCCCUCCUACAAUUCACAAGACAAUGAGAAGCACAUUUUUGGCGGCAUUCACAAUUCCGAUAUUAGUAGGCCCGCACUUCAAGGGCCAAGAAAUCCAUCGAGAUCGGAUAACUUAACAAAUACUAGAUUUCCCAUACAAUACUUAUUCUACCUAUCGACUACAAUGUUCGACCAGCGACAUAAAGUAAACCACUAUUGUAAUCUUACAAUCACAAAGCACUCUGUUAUCUAUGAUGGUCACCAAGCAACAAAGAAUGCCAACACUGGUUCAAAACCGGAACAUGCUGUUACAGCUGCUUGCAGCAACAAAGUCCAAAUAACAGAUGGCAAAUCUACAAAUAAAAAUGGUGAACGCCAAUGGCGUUUUACGGCAUAAACUUGAAGUAACACAGUUCCUGAAUGAAAAUCAUAGCGACUUUAGGCUACUGAUUUUGCAGUGACAUAAAACAUUACCCGCAAUAUAAUAAGCGCCAAGGCGCUUUCAGAGCUGUCGUCAAACCAAUUACUCUUUUUCAAAGCCCAAAAACUACAGAUCGUCUGUGGUUACAAUAUAAAAAGUAUUUAAGCUCACACAUCAAAUUAAUCCCUCAGUUCAACUUUGAAGCGGACAUCGAAUGCUCUACCGAUGCUCUUGAAGAAAUAUUCGCGGAGGCAGUCACUAUCUCAACACCCAUGGCAGCGUCGUUCAAAACGACCACUUCAAAACUAAUCUGCAAUUGAACGGCUAGUCCUAGAGGCGCCUGCGACAUGCUUGGCAAACAGACAGAUCGCCGUCAUCAAAACAACGUCUUAAGAAAUCCAUACGCACACUAAAUCGAGCUUUAAAGCAAGAAACAGAAAAUGCGCAACUCCGGUACUUUAAAAAAAACUUUUGCCAAACAGUACAAAACACCCUCUGUGGAGGGCUCACCCAAAUCUGAGCUCUCCUUCGAAACAAUCCGAUAAGCAAUCUAUCAAGUAGCUGGGUCCGCAGCGACGAAGAUAGAGCCGAAACUUUUGCUUCACAUCUCCGGGACAACUUCCAGGCGAACCCUGCCAUUCCUUUUCUAUUUGUUUGUUCAGCCAAAGAAGACCGCAAAAGUCGUUGGGGAACUGAAACCGAAGAAGGCUUCUGGCGGUAACCAAAUAAACCCAAAAAUGUUCAUUGAACUUCUUAACUCUGCCAUUGAGGUUAUUUGUCAGCUCUUCAAUGCACAGUGGUUGAUUCCAUAGGCCAAAUGUAAAAAAACAGAAGUCCGAAAUCGGUAACUUUUUGUCUUUCAAUUUUUUCCUAAUAGAGCAAUAAAACGAACAGUAUUUUCA